rnacentral:rRNA from 1 species
GGUUAAGCGACUAAGCGUACACGGUGGAUGCCCUGGCAGUCAGAGGCGAUGAAGGACGUGCUAAUCUGCGAUAAGCGUCGGUAAGGUGAUAUGAACCGUUAUAACCGGCGAUUUCCGAAUGGGGAAACCCAGUGUGAUUCGUCACACUAUCAUUAACUGAAUCCAUAGGUUAAUGAGGCGAACCGGGGGAACUGAAACAUCUAAGUACCCCG